rnacentral:rRNA from 1 species
UACGUAGGCAGCGAGCGUUGUUCGGAGUUACUGGGCGUAAAGGAUGCGUAGGCGGACAUUUAAGUCAGAUGUGAAAUACCCGAGCUUAACUUGGGUGCUGCAUUUGAAACUGGGUGUCUAGAGUGCAGGAGAGGUAAGUGGAAUUCCUAGUGUAGCGGUGAAAUGCGUAGAGAUUAGGAAGAACACCAGUGGCGAAGGCGACUUACUGGACUGUAACUGACGCUGAGGCAUGAAAGCGUGGGGAGCAAACAGG